rnacentral:rRNA from 1 species
UACGGAAGGCAGCAGUGGGGAAUAUUGCACAAUGGGCGCAAGCCUGAUGCAGCCAUGCCGCGUGUAUGAAGAAGGCCUUCGGGUUGUAAAGUACUUUCAGUCGUGAGGAAGGUGUUAAGGUUAAUAACCUUAGCAAUUGACGUUAGCGACAGAAGAAGCACCGGCUAACUCCGUGCCAGCAGCCGCGGUAAUACGGAGGGUGCGAGCGUUAAUCGGAAUUACUGGGCGUAAAGGGCACGCAGGCGGUUAAUUAAGUUGGAUGUGAAAUCCCCGGGCUUAACCUGGGAAUGGCAUUCAAGACUGGUUAGCUAGAGUCUUGUAGAGGGGGUAGAAUUCCAUGUGUAGCGGUGAAAUGCGUAGAGAUGUGGAGGAAUACCGGGUGGCGAAGGCGGCCCCUGGGACAAAGACUGACGCUCAUGUGCGAAAGCGUGGGGAGCAAACAGGGAUUAGAUACC